AUGUAGGACAGUGUCUUAAGAAGGGAUAAAUUAGUGGAAAAGAAAAGAAUCUUGAUCAUUUUCCGUUCAAGUCUAGAUUCUUGU
rnacentral:pre_miRNA from 1 species